GGGGAAUAUCGGACAAUGGGCGCAAGCCUGAUCCAGCCAUACCGCGAGGGUGAAGAAGGUCUUCGGGUUGUAAAGCCUUUUUAUUGGGAAAGUAAUCCAGCUGGCUAAUACCCGGUUGCGAUGACGGCACCCAAAGAAUAAGCCCCGGCCAACUCCGUUCCAGCAGCCGCGGUAAUACGAAGGGUGCAAGCGUUACUCGGAAUUACUGGGCGUAAAGCGUGCGUAGGUGGUCGUUUAAGUCCGUUGUGAAAGCCCUGGGCUCAACCUGGGAACUGCAGUGGAUACUGGACGACUAGAGUGUGGUAGAGGGUAGCGGAAUUCCUGGUGUAGCAGUGAAAUGCGUAGAGAUCAGGAGGAACAUCCAUGGCGAAGGCAGCUCCCUGGACCAACACUGACACUGCGGCACGAAAGCGUGGGGAGCAAACA
rnacentral:rRNA from 1 species